UCAGUCGAGUGAGGAUCUCCGACACGGCAACAACUGCAGCUCAUUAUUUGUCACCAACUGCCUUCAUUGUUAUACCGGUUCGCAAUCACGGGUAUCAACAACUAUGGCGCCAUGCUGCUGUUUGGUGUUGUAUGGUUAAUGGUUGGGUCGAUCACGGGUGUACAGAUGUCUCCUGGACAUGGUGGAUACCAAGCAACAGCAGCAAAAUGAUAAUACACCACGUCGACGCCUUACUACACAACAACGUCUAGAUACGCAACAUCUACUUGCUACGCCGUGGCUCUCAAGUACUACAUCACUGAGUAUAUUGUCCAAGCCUACUACACCGAAGUCCCCAAGUACUACACGACUACGAAUGCUGCCCCAUCUUACUACACCGAUGCUCCAUCUUAUUUCAAUACCAAAGCGGUCGAGUACUAUACCGAACCGCACAAGUACUACUCUGCCCCGAACUACACAACCACAACUGAGGCGGCCAAGUACUACUUAGCCCAGACUUACAACACAGCAGCUGUUCCUUCCUACUACAUUGAACUGUAAUACUACACCGAGGAUCCAGUCUACUACACCACAACCUACGCUACACCUAGAUACUACGACGAAGCCCCCCAACUACUACUACACCGAAAAGGCCACAUAGCCAAGUACACUGCCCCAGUUUACUUCACUAAGUGUAACUCUGCUCCAAGCUACUACCAAACUGAGGCUCCCGUCUACUAUACCAGUACACCAAGGCCAUCGAGUAUUACACUUCAACCAAAUGUUAUUAUUAGUUACAUCAGCAAGGCACCGGAGUACUACACCACCAAGGCACCGGAGUACUACACCACCACGUAUGCUGCCCCAGCCUUUUACACUGAGGCCUAAGUACUACUCCGUUCCCAGCUACUUCACCGAGGCUCCAGCUUAUUACGCCACCAAAGCGGUCAAAUACUACACCGAAGCGUCCUAGUACUACUCUGCACCGAAUUGCUACACAGCGGUUGCUCCUUCGUACUACGUUGGACCGAAAUACUAGACUGAGGUUCCCGUUCACUACUCUACAACCCACGCUGCCUUCAGCUACCAUACCGAGGCUUCGUUCCCAUACCCAUGCUCCUAAGUGCUACACAACUAAGGCACCCGAGUAUUACAUCACUACUUAGGCUGCUCCGACUUACUGCAUCGAAGCUGCGAAGUAUUCCACUGCCCUGAGUUACUACACCGUUAAGACACC